rnacentral:lncRNA from 1 species
GCAGGAGCUGGGCCAAGGACGGCGCUGAUUGGCUGUGGCGGGGCCGGGGCGGGGCGCUGGGGCCGGGCGGCGCGUGCGCAGUGCGGAGCGGUGAGUCGGGGUGGGGGUGUGGCGGUGGGCGCUGUUGCUGGCGCCCCGUGAGGGCCGGGCCGUAGCUCCGGCCCGGGGACCCGGAAACCGGGACACAGCCCUGGUUCCGGCCCCGGUACCGGCCGCUGCCUCCCCUGCGCUGCCCCCGCGCGAGCGGAGCCGGCGGCUGGUGGCAAUGUCUCCUUGGGCCGGGCUCCUCUCCACCACUGCCAGAGUCAGCCUGCUGCUGCUGCUGGGGUCUGUGCUCUUCUCCUGCUCCAGCCUGGGCCACAGAGUGCCUGAGUUUGCCCUUACAAAAAUAGAAGAGAGCGACAUGAAAGAUGACAGUGGGAAGGAGCCGGGGACAGAGGAUGACGCUGAUCCCGAAGACCUGGAAGUGUUUUACCCCACGGAUCAGUGGCAAACCCUGCGUCCAGGUAACUGCUGCUGGCUAAUUAUAGCAUGCCUCUGGAGGCCACCUGCCAGCUCUGACAGGAGCCUUGCAGACGCUCCAAGAGCUGCUUGUUCCCAUGACAAUGUGUGCUUUUGCUGGUGUUCACAUAAAGAGAAGGACGUGGUGACCCAGUGCAGGGACUGGAGGCCGUGGGCAAAGCAUCCAAGGAGGUCACUGGAGCAGGAGGAGUGGGCUGCCAGCCCCCUUGUGGGGUGGGGCUGCCUCUGUCCCUGGCUCCGCAGCUGUUGGAAUCUGAGGUAUUGAUGAUCCUGAGAUUGUAGAAAGUCUCUGUCUGUCAGCCCCCUGCCAAAGCAGAAGCCAUAAUUGGUCUGUGCUGGUUCCAAGGUUGUUUAUUCUGUUUAUCUCUCACAUGUUCUGCUGCCCUGCCCAGCUCUGUCCUGCAGGGCAGCGUGUGGGGCUCUGCCCUCAGUGGGAUGUUACAAACAUUAAAUACCAGAAACUCCCUGGGCUGGAUUUACAAGAACGUGCUAAUAUCUGUCACCUACGUUGGACAGUGUGUCCCCAGCCUGAACCAACAGAAAAAUGCCAACACCACAGUGAAACAUGGAGGGCAUGGAGAAGGAGAAAAAGGACAAGGCACAUCCAAUUUCCUCCAUCUUGUCCCCUUUGGACCCCCAAUCUAGAAUCCUAAAAUUUUACUUUUGCACCCGUGCCAC